UCCUGGCUCAGGACGAACGCUGGCGGCGUGCUUAACACAUGCAAGUGGAGCGACGAACCGGGGCUUGCCCCGGGGCAGAGCCGCGAACGGGUGAGUAACACGUGGGUAACCUGCCUCAAUGAUUGGGACAACCCGGGGAAACUCGGGCUAAUACCAAAUGUGUUCACUCCUUCCAAGGGGAGUGAGGAAAGGAAGCUUCGGCCUCCGCAUUGAGAUGGGCCCGCGGCCCAUUAGCUUGUUGGUGAGGUAACGGCUCACCAAGGGCUUCGAUGGGUAGCUGGUCUGAGAGGACGAUCAGCCACACUGGGACUGAGACACGGCCCAGACUCCUACGGGAGGCAGCAGUGGGGAAUCUUGCACAAUGCGCGAAAGCGUGAUGCAGCAACGCCGCGUGGGGGAAGACGGCCUUCGGGUUGUAAACCCCUUUCAGUUGGGACGAAGCUUCGUCGGUGAAUAGCCGGUUGGAGUGACGGUACCUUCAGAAGAAGCCCCGGCUAACUACGUG
rnacentral:rRNA from 1 species